AUACGGAGGGUGCAAGCGUUACUCGGAAUCACUGGGCGUAAAGCGCGCGCAGGCGGCUUGAUAAGUUGGAUGUGAAAGCCUACGGCUCAACCGUAGAACUGCAUCCAAAACUGUCAAGCUAGAGUCUGGGAGGGGAAGAUGGAAUUAGUUGUGUAGGGGUAAAAUCCGUAGAGAUAACUAGGAAUACCAAAAGCGAAGGCGAUCUUCUGGAACAGUACUGACGCUGAGGCGCGAAAGCGUGGGAGCAAACAGGAGUAGAUACCCCAGUAGUCC
rnacentral:rRNA from 1 species